rnacentral:rRNA from 1 species
GAUGAACGCUGGCGGCGUGCCUAACACAUGCCAGUCGAGCGGAGAUUACGGACGGAAGUUUUCGGAUGGAAGCCUGUAAUUCUUAGUGGCGGACGGGUGAGUAACGCGUGGGCAACCUGCCCUAUACAGGGGGAUAGCAGCUGGAAACGGCUGGUAAGACCGCAUAAGUCGGCGAGACCGCAUGGUUUUGCCGGGAAAUGAGCAAUCAGGUAUAGGAUGGGCCCGCGUCCGAUUAGCCAGUUGGCAGGGUAAAAGCCUACCAAAGCAACGAUCGGUAGCCGGACUGAGAGGUCGGACGGCCACAUUGGGACUGAGACACGGCCCAAACUCCUACGGGAGGCAGCAGUGGGGGAUAUUGCACAAUGGAGGAAACUCUGAUGCAGCGACGCCGCGUGAGUGAAGAAGUAUUUCGGUAUGUAAAGCUCUAUCAGCAGGGAAGAUGAUGACGGUACCUGACUAAGAAGCCCCGGCUAACUACGUG